CGCAGAACCAGCAGAUGCAUUCAAAACCAGCGUGAAUCUUGUCGCUCGUGUGGCCAACAGCAGAAUUUUACGUCUUUUUCAUGGCCGAUUGAAGGAUUUGUUGAGAAGUACAAGAGAAUGAAAGACAGGGCAGCUCUUUUGAAAGGCAGUUUACAUAAGAAAGUGAUGACCUUUGAAAGAUGGUGGUGUGUUUUAACAGAUGAACUUGAUCUCUGCAUUCAGGGAUCUGUGGAGAACAAGU